rnacentral:rRNA from 1 species
AUUGAACGCUGGCGGCAGGCCUAACACAUGCAAGUCGAACGAGUGGCGGACUGGUGAGUAAUGUCUGGGAAACUGCCUGCUGGAGGGGGAUAACUACUGGAAACGGUAGCUAAUACAGCAUACCAUCGGAUGUGCCCAGAUGGGAUUAGCUAGUAGGUGGGGUAAAGGAUCACCUAGGCGACGAUCACUAGCUGGUCUGAGAGGAUGACCAGCCACACUGGAAAUGAGCACCGGUCCAGACUCGUACGGGAGGCAGCAUUGCGGAAUAUGCCACAAUGGGCGCAAGCCGGAUGCAGCCAUUCCGAGUGUAUGAAGAAGGCCUUCGGGUUUUAAAGUACUUUCAGCGAGUAGGUGUUACCCGCAGAAGAAGCACCGGCUAACUCCGUGCCAGCAGCCGCGGUAAUUC